UGUUUCAAGUAAACGUGUGUUGAGACUGAUGACAUCGCUGUCGCUAUCACUGCUCAUCUUGACUACGUGAGAACUAACAGCUUGGAAGAGCCACCCUUGUUUAAAUGACCGGCAGAAGAGCUGAGGAAAUAUAGUUUUGGUAUCACAGUGGCUUUCCCGACCUGCUCAAAUGAACCGCAGGGAAUCAGAACAGCUCAUCAGGACCCCCACUGUGCCCCCCGUCCCAGAACAGCUGCCAUGAGUGGAUAAAAGUGGGAAAGAGCUGGCCUCUGGGAAGCAGGAAAACCAUCUAAGAAUGCACUGAGACACAUAUUGUGGCGUCUGGGAAACACAUAAGACUCGAGCCAGGAUGACCUGCUGCAGACAGCCGGACUCCUCCGAGGUAGGGCCAUCUUCACGUACUUGG